GACAGAGGGGGCAAGCGUUGCUCGGAAUCACUGGGCGUAAAGGGCGCGUAGGCGGGAUGGCAAGUCGGUCGUGAAAUCCCUCGGCUCAACCGAGAAACGUCGGCCGAUACUGCCGUUCUUGAGGGAUGCAGAGGAGACUGGAAGUCCCGGUGUAGCGGUGAAAUGUGUAGAGAUCGGGAGGAACACCGGUGGCGAAGGCGGGUCUCUGGGCAUCUCCUGACGCUGAGGCGCGAAAGCGUGGGGAGCAAACGGG
rnacentral:rRNA from 1 species